GGAAGGAUCAUUACAAAUCAUAGUGUUGGGGAGUGAGAGGGGGGGGGAGAGAGUUGCAGAGCGGUCUAAAAGCUGCCUGCGUCGUCUCUCUCUCUCUAUCUCUCCCUUACGUUUGCGCGUGUUGUGUUUGACAGAGUAAUAUGUACCCUUUAAAUUAUAGACAACUUUUAACAAUGGAUCUCUUGGCUCUUGCAACGAUGAAGAACGCAGUCAAGUGCGAUAUCUAGUGCGAUUUGCAUGAAUCUGUGAGUCAUCGAGUUUUUGAACGCAACUUGCGCCCAGCAAUGGGCAUGUCUGUUUGAGUACCGCAUACCAUAAUGCCAUGAGCGAUUUGAUCACUAGCUAGCUAGCUAGUGGGUGGGUGGGUGUGUUUGGUGGCCUAACCUCCUCCUCGCUUACUCUACUCUACUCUACUCUACUCUGCUGUGUAUCUAAAUGGAUGUUCACUCUUGUGAGGGUGUAUCAUGCUAGAGACGUCAAGUCUUUCUUUGAUACACCCCCCUUCAAUAUUGGUCUCAAAUCAGGCAAGAUUACCCGCUGAACUUAAGCAUAUCAGUAAGCGGAGGAGAAGAAAAUAACAAUGAUUUCCUUAGUAACGGCGAGUGAAGCGGAAUCAGCUCAAAGUUAGAAUCUCGGCGGGCAACCGCUGCGAAUUGUAGUCUAAAGAUUGGUGGGCGAGGCAAGACGGCACUGCAAGUUCCUUGGGAUAGGACGCCUGAGAGGGUGAGAGCCCCGUGGUAGUGCUGUCGAGCUAGUAUGUCUGCCGGUCAACGAGUCGAGUUGUUUGGGAAUGCAGCUCAAAGAGGGUGGUAAAUCUCACCCAAGGCUAAAUACUGGCAAGAGACCGAUAGCGAACAAGUACCGUGAGGGAAAGAUGGAAAGCACCUUGAAAAGGGAGUUAAACAGUGCGUGAAAUUGUUAAAAGGGAAGCGAUUGAGAUCAGUGUUGGCGUGUUGUUCAAGCUAGUGCUCCGGUGCUGGUGGCGACGGCGCGUCGAGUCAAUGCCAGUUGGUGGUGACAGAGAUGCGUCAGAGGAAGGUGGGGUCGAUCUUCGGGUCGGCUCUUUAUAGACUUUGGCUGCGGUGUCAUUGCCGACUGGAAGGACUGGAACGCGGUAGGAAAGUGUGAGGUGAUCGGUGUAGACAGCAUGCUGACUAUGCCUAUCUCCCUCUUACUGACUUGCUCCCGACUAUAGUUCGCCUUUGACAAAAUGGUCUUAAACGACCCGUCUUGAAACACGGACCAAGGAGUCUAACAAUGUUGCGAGCAUUAUGGUGGUAAACCAGUUUAGAUGCGCAAUGAAAGUAAAAUCUGCGACCGAAAGGGCAGCAGAGACCGGCAGAGUCCAAUCGGACUCCGACCGAGUCAGAGUAGGAUUGUUGGGACCCGAAAGGCGGUGAACUAUGCCUGACUAGGGCGAAGCCAGAGGAAACUCUGGUGGAGGCUCGUAGCCGUUCUGACGUGCAAAUCGAUGGUAAAAGUUGGGUAUAGGGGCGAAAGACUAAUCGAACCGCCUAGUAGCUGGUUCCCUC
rnacentral:misc_RNA from 1 species